rnacentral:rRNA from 1 species
AGUAAAUAGAUACCCGGGUAGUCCACGCCGUAAACGAUGUCGACUUGGAGGUUGUGCCCUUGAGGCGUGGCUUCCGGAGCUAAACGCGUUAAAGUCGACCGCCUGGGGAGUACGGCCGCAAGGUUAAAACUCAAAUGAAUUGACGGGGGCCCGCACAAGCGGUGGAGCAUGUGGUUUAAUUCGAUGCAACGCGAAGAACCUUACCUACUCUUGACAUCCAGAGAACUUAGCAGAGAUGCUUUGGUGCCUUCGGGAACUCUGAGACAGGUGCUGCAUGGCUGUCGUCAGCUCGUGUUGUGAAAUGUUGGGUUAAGUCCCGCAACGAGCGCAACCCUUAUCCUUUGUUGCCAGCGGUCCGGCCGGGAACUCAAAGGAGACUGCCAGUGAUAAACCUGGAGGAAGGUGGGGAUGACGUCAAGUCAUCAUGGCCCUUACGAGUAGGGCUACACACGUGCUACAAUGGCGCAUACAAAGAGAAGCGACCUCGCGAGAGCAAGCGGACCUCAUAAACGUGCGUCGUAGUCCGG